CUUGAAUCCCAAGACCUAAAUCCAACCCAAACAGUACCAUUUUGUGCCUAACCACACCCAAAUCCUCACUCCUAAAACCAAUCCCUAAUCCUACCCUCUAACCCCUAGCCCAAACCCUAAGUCCUAACACGAACCCCAAACCUACCCACAGACUCUACCAAUAAAUCCUAAACCUGAGGCAAUCCAGAACCUGGGCAUAAUCCUAAGUCCUAAUGCCUAACCCUAGCAAAUAUCACCCAACAGCAGACCUCGGCCAAACAUCUAACCCUCAGCCUCACACCUAGCCCCCCUAACAGCUCACCCUGACCCCUACACUCAGCCCUCAGUCUGCCCACAAAACCAAACCUCAACCUGAACACCAACCCUGGCCAUAACACCUAGCACUGCCUCCAGAUCUCCAUUAGCUUUCCACAUCCCUCUGGAUAUUUUGCUGACCUGAGGACUUUGCUUCCCUUCCUCCUCCUCCAGGCCGUCCGCAUGCUGUGCAGAGUGGAGAGGGACAUUGGGCAGGUCCUGACUUCCUCAGGCAGUGUCAUCCAGCCUGUGUCUGCCACCAGCUGCCUCACACCUAGGUCAUCUCAGGAGCUUUUUCACGUCAAGUUGUGCCAGGCAGUGGAGGACAUCUGCAGCACAGCAAGCAAGAAGACACCCACCGGGUCUGCCGCUACACACCCUUCCAGCCACUGAGCUGUGAUACUGUUGCCCUCUCCGUCCGGAAAACAAAGUGUAAGAGCAGCACUGAAAUGCAGGUGCAGAGCUAACUGAUGGAAGCCUCUCUCUCGAGUUCCCGGUUCCAGACACAUUCCAGUCGAGAGUUUUCUUUCUGUUAUUAAAGAGUGAUGCGCCUGUGAACGGUC